rnacentral:rRNA from 1 species
UACGGAGGGUCCAAGCGUUAAUCGGAAUUACUGGGCGUAAAGCGCGCGUAGAUGGUUUAUUCAGUUGGGUGUGAAAUCCCUGGGCUCAACCUAGGAACUGCAUUCAAAACUUAUAAACUAGAGUACGAAAGAGGAGAGUAGAAUUCAUGGUGUAGCGGUGAAAUGCGUAGAGAUCAUGAGGAAUACCAGUGGCGAAGGCGACUCUCUGGUUCGAGACUGACAUUGAGGUGCGAAAGCGUGGGUAGCAAACAGG